rnacentral:tRNA from 1 species
GUUUAGAUAGCUUAUAAAGAGCAUAGUAUUGAAGAUACUAAGGAAAUUAGAUAAUUUUUAAAUA